rnacentral:rRNA from 1 species
GGGUUGUGAGGUUAAGCGACUAAGCGUACACGGUGGAUGCCCUGGCAGUCAGAGGCGAUGAAGGACGUGCUAAUCUGCGAAAAGCGUCGGUAAGGUGAUAUGAACCGUUAUAACCGGCGAUGUCCGAAUGGGGAAACCCAGUGCAAUUCGUUGCACUAUCGUUAACUGAAUACAUAGGUUAACGAGGCGAACCGGGGGAACUGAAACAUCUAAGUACCCCGAGGAAAAGAAAUCAACCGAGAUUCCCCCAGUAGCGGCGAGCGAACGGGGAGCAGCCCAGAGUCUGAAUCAGCUUGUGUGUUAGUGGAACGGUCUGGAAAGUCCGACGGUACAGGGUGAUAGUCCCGUACACCAAAAUGCACAGGUUGUGAACUCGAAGAGUAGGGCGGGACACGUGGUAUCCUGUCUGAAUAUGGGGGGACCAUCCUCCAAGGCUAAAUACUCCUGACUGACCGAUAGUGAACCAGUACCGUGAGGGAAAGGCGAAAAGAACCCCGGCGAGGGGAGUGAAAAAGAACCUGAAACCGUGUACGUACAAGCAGUGGGAGCACCUUCGGGUGUGACUGCGUACCUUUUGUAUAAUGGGUCAGCGACUUAUAUUCUGUAGCAAGGUUAACCGUAUAGGGGAGCCGCAGGGAAACCGAGUCUUAACUGGGCGUUAAGUUGCAGGGUAUAGACCCGAAACCCGGUGAUCUAGCCAUGGGCAGGUUGAAGGUUGGGUAACACUAACUGGAGGACCGAACCGACUAAUGUUGAAAAAUUAGCGGAUGACUUGUGGCUGGGGGUGAAAGGCCAAUCAAACCGGGAGAUAGCUGGUUCUCCCCGAAAGCUAUUUAGGUAGCGCCUCGUGAACUCAUCUUCGGGGGUAGAGCACUGUUUCGGCUAGGGGGUCAUCCCGACUUACCAACCCGAUGCAAACUACGAAUACCGAAGAAUGUUAUCACGGGAGACACACGGCGGGUGCUAACGUCCGUCGUGAAGAGGGAAACAACCCAGACCGCCAGCUAAGGUCCCAAAGUCAUGGUUAAGUGGGAAACGAUGUGGGAAGGCACAGACAGCCAGGAUGUUGGCUUAGAAGCAGCCAUCAUUUAAAGAAAGCGUAAUAGCUCACUGGUCGAGUCGGCCUGCGCGGAAGAUGUAACGGGGCUAAACCAUGCACCGAAGCUGCGGCAGCGACACGAUGUGUUGUUGGGUAGGGGAGCGUUCUGUAAGCCUGCGAAGGUGACCUGUGAGGGUUGCUGGAGGUAUCAGAAGUGCGAAUGCUGACAUAAGUAACGAUAAAGCGGGUGAAAAGCCCGCUCGCCGGAAGACCAAGGGUUCCUGUCCAACGUUAAUCGGGGCAGGGUGAGUCGACCCCUAAGGCGAGGCCGAAAGGCGUAGUCGAUGGGAAACAGGUUAAUAUUCCUGUACUUGGUGUUACUGCGAAGGGGGGACGGAGAAGGCUAUGUUAGCCGGGCGACGGUUGUCCCGGUUUAAGCAUGUAGGCUGGUUAUCCAGGCAAAUCCGGAUAAUCAAGGCUGAGGUGUGAUGACGAGGUACUACGGUGCUGAAGUAACAAAUGCCCUGCUUCCAGGAAAAGCCUCUAAGCAUCAGGUAACAUCAAAUCGUACCCCAAACCGACACAGGUGGUCAGGUAGAGAAUACCAAGGCGCUUGAGAGAACUCGGGUGAAGGAACUAGGCAAAAUGGUGCCGUAACUUCGGGAGAAGGCACGCUGGUGUGUAGGUGAAGUCCCUGCGGAUGGAGCUGAGACCAGUCGAAGAUACCAGCUGGCUGCAACUGUUUAUUAAAAACACAGCACUGUGCAAACACGAAAGUGGACGUAUACGGUGUGACGCCUGCCCGGUGCCGGAAGGUUAAUUGAUGGGGUUAUCCGUAAGGAGAAGCUCUUGAUCGAAGCCCCGGUAAACGGCGGCCGUAACUAUAACGGUCCUAAGGUAGCGAAAUUCCUUGUCGGGUAAGUUCCGACCUGCACGAAUGGCGUAAUGAUGGCCAGGCUGUCUCCACCCGAGACUCAGUGAAAUUGAACUCGCUGUGAAGAUGCAGUGUACCCGCGGCAAGACGGAAAGACCCCGUGAACCUUUACUAUAGCUUGACACUGAACAUUGAGCCUUGAUGUGUAGGAUAGGUGGGAGGCUUUGAAGCGUGGACGCCAGUCUGCGUGGAGCCAACCUUGAAAUACCACCCUUUAAUGUUUGAUGUUCUAACGUGGGCCCCUAAUCGGGGUUGCGGACAGUGUCUGGUGGGUAGUUUGACUGGGGCGGUCUCCUCCCAAAGCGUAACGGAGGAGCACGAAGGUUAGCUAAUCCUGGUCGGACAUCAGGAGGUUAGUGCAAUGGCAUAAGCUAGCUUGACUGCGAGCGUGACGGCGCGAGCAGGUGCGAAAGCAGGUCAUAGUGAUCCGGUGGUUCUGAAUGGAAGGGCCAUCGCUCAACGGAUAAAAGGUACUCCGGGGAUAACAGGCUGAUACCGCCCAAGAGUUCAUAUCGACGGCGGUGUUUGGCACCUCGAUGUCGGCUCAUCACAUCCUGGGGCUGAAGUAGGUCCCAAGGGUAUGGCUGUUCGCCAUUUAAAGUGGUACGCGAGCUGGGUUUAGAACGUCGUGAGACAGUUCGGUCCCUAUCUGCCGUGGGCGCUGGAGAAUUGAGGGGGGCUGCUCCUAGUACGAGAGGACCGGAGUGGACGCAUCACUGGUGUUCGGGUUGUCAUGCCAAUGGCACUGCCCGGUAGCUAAAUGCGGAAGAGAUAAGUGCUGAAAGCAUCUAAGCACGAAACUUGCCCCGAGAUGAGUUCUCCCUGAGACUUUAAGUCUCCUGAAGGAACGUUGAAGACGACGACGUUGAUAGGCCGGGUGUGUAAGCGCAGCGAUGCGUUGAGCUAACCGGUACUAAUGAACCGUGAGGCUUAACCUUACAACGCCGAAG